rnacentral:rRNA from 1 species
UACAGAGGGUGCGAGCGUUGUCCGGAAUCACUGGGCGUAAAGGGCGCGUAGGCGGCCCGAUAAGUAGGGGGUGAAAUCUUGCGGCUCAACCGCAAGGCUGCCUUCUAAACUGUCGGGCUGGAGCACGGUAGAGGCAGAUGGAAUUCCCGGUGUAGCGGUGGAAUGCGUAGAGAUCGGGAAGAACACCAGUGGCGAAGGCGGUCUGCUGGGCCGUUGCUGACGCUGAGGCGCGACAGCGUGGGGAGCAAACAGGAUUAGAAACCCGGUAGUCC